UACGUAGGGGGCUAGCGUUGUCCGGAUUUAUUGGGCGUAAAGAGCUUGUAGGCGGUUUGUCGCGUCUGCUGUGAAAUUUCGGGGCUCAACCCCGAACUUGCAGUGGGUACGGGCAGACUAGAGUGUGGUAGGGGAGACGUGGAAUUCCAUGGUGUAGCGGUGGAAAUGCGCAGAUAUCAGGAGGAACACCGAUGGCGAAGGCAGGUCUCUGGGCCAUAACUGACGCUGAGAAGCGAAAGCAUGGGGAGCGAACAGG
rnacentral:rRNA from 1 species